UCUGGUAAUUAAGGCGAGAAGGUCACACCCGUUCCCAUACCGAACACGGAAGUUAAGCUUCUCAGCGCCGAUGGUAGUUGGGGCAGGCGCCCCUGUGAGAGUAGGACGUUGCCAGGC
rfam:Bacillus sp. MRMR6 scaffold_3, whole genome shotgun sequence.